rnacentral:rRNA from 1 species
UACGUAGGUGGCAAGCGUUGUCCGGAUUUACUGGGCGUAAAGAGCGCGCAGGCGGUCGAUCAAGUCGCGUGUGAAAGCCCCCCGGCUCAACCGAGGGACUGCGCCUGAUACUGUGUGGCUUGAGGGUUGGAGGGGAGAGUGGAAUUCCCGGUGGAGCGGUGAAAUGCGUAGAGAUCGGGAAGAACGCCGGCGGCGAAAGCGACUCUCUGGUCAACUUCUGACGCUGAGGCGCGAAAGCUAGGGGAGCAAACGGGG